rnacentral:lncRNA from 10 species
CCUUUCUUCUGUUUUGAUCUUAUCACCCUGCCUUGGUCUCCUCCAAUCUCUUCUUCCUUGGCCUACUUCUUUCUUCUCUUUUCAUUCUGUGCUUUCUCUGAGUAAUCUUUGACUCCCAUUACUGAAGUCAUGACCUGUGUUCCAGGGAUUCCUAAAUUCGCAUUCACCUCUAGAGUUUCAAACUCAUAUAUCUGUCUGUAUAUCAUAUAUGUUAGGGAAUCUCACUUGGAGUGCCAUGGGUGUUCAAAAUGAUGACAUUUACAUUUUCAUGUAUCCACCUCCUAGCACUCUAUCAGCCCCAUCAUGUGUUCCCUCAGUAAUUCUCCUUGUCAUUGUGAGUGGGACAAAAUGAUAUAAUCAAACUAGUCACCCAUGCCUAACCCUGGGAACUGUCUUAGCGUUCUUUCAUAUGCUACUGUUCUCUGACCUCCCCAAACUAGUAAAUCUCUAAGACCAGCCCUUCUGAAUGUCUCUUACUAUUUUCCCUGUGAUCUCAGCUUCUUCUUCCCAUCCUUCAAAUGCUUUGUAUGUGUGUAUCAUGAGGGAAGGGAGUAAAAUUGAAAUUUGUGGAAAAUGUACUAACUUGUGUUUCUUGUUGCUUGAUAUGACUCCGCUACCCUGCUGCCUCUCUCCCCCAGCACUCCUGUAGCCAAUUCUGUGCCAGAGGUCAGAGUGUCCAGGUCUGUGUCCGGAUCACCCCGCCUCAUCUUCAUUAUGUAGUUAGCACAAACAGCGUAUUGGGUGCAUAACAAAUCCACACUGGGGCUUCGAGCUUCCUUUUAAGCAUGAGGAUUUUUGGUGGAUCCAAAUUUACUGUUCAACUUUCCUUGUUUCCACUUGCUUCAUUGCUCACUUUGGGAAGGCUUAUUCUUUGCUUUGUUAACCCAUUCUAAUCCUGUGUCUUCUUUCCUUGUCCUUUGUAAACCUGCUUCUUUCUCUUCAUCUCUUUUCUUGAUCAGAGACACCCAGGAAAUUGUUCCUGACCAAGUGAAGUGAGUGCCUUAUUAGAUCCCAUUUGAGUCACCUUAUACAUUGAAAAUCAUUUUAAACAACGAAAACCAUACUUGUGCACAUAGUUUACGUUACUUGCUUAAAGUAAAUAUGCUUACAACACAAUUUCGACUUAAAUUUGGAAAUUUACAGUUAUUCUUUGCAGUUUCCUAGUGAAUUAUUAUUUUUUAGACAGACACUUACAAGCCAACUAAGUAUCCAGUGUUUUCACAGGUUUCAGUUAAUCUUUACCAUUCUGGGAAAGUUUUCAUUUCUUUGUUUUACAGAUGGGGAGACUCAAACUCAGGGAAUUAGAUUCGAUAUCCAAGGUCAUCUAGAUUCCCAGGCUCUGUCUGCUAGAUCACAUUUGCUUAUGUACUUUUAACUGACUAUGACUGGAAUGUAUAAUUUUAUAAUCCAUGUGUAGCAACACUGCCUAUGUGUUUUUUUUCUUUUUCUUUUUGGUAGCCUCAUUAAUGCAUUAAUGUUCUCUUGUCUGAAGUUGUAAGUUCCUAAGAAAACAAGGUAGCAAUGAGAAAUUGGACAAUGUCUGGAACUUCUUCCUGUGCCUUAAUUGUUGUCAUUCUGCUAGGUAUCAGUUGUAGUGAUUGUACACCCAAGCCAUAGUAACUUUCUUAAACUAGAGGCUCCUGAAAAUAUUUUGAAGAGUAUUGUUUUAACUGUAAGCUGCAAUUGAGCAGUAACAAACAUUUUUAUUUCCUACUGGAUUGAUUACAGUAGUCAUAACAUUAUUGGUGUCUUCUAAGGGCUCUUUAACAUGCUUAUUUACUGAAAUGUGUUUUGUAGCUUUGUCAGCAAUUGAAGUGGUUGAUAUGUGAACUCUGCAGAUUAUAUAACCUUCCUAAGCACCUGGAUGUUGGGUAACAGUUACAAUAUAGUAGAAAAGGAUACUGAGAGAAUGGGGGCAGGCCAACCUUAAAUGGAGUGGGGAGGUGGCACUAAGCUAAAACUGCCAGGAUGAAAAGAAGUCAGACGUUAAGAGUGGACGAGGAUAUUAUCAAGGCAAGACACCGAAUGUGUAAAAUCCCAGAGGCAGGAGAGAGGGAUGUUUCUGAGGAUCUGAGAGCUCCAUGAACCAGCACAGGGGUUUGCCGGGUUUGGGGUCAUGGUAUAAUCUAAGAGAGGCCAUCAGAGGCUCGAUCUUGCUGGCCUGGUAGGUCCUGAUAAAGAAUUUGGAUUUUACUUUAUUUGCAGUAGAAAGCUCCUGAUGGUUUUACCCAGGGGAGUAAACAUAAUCUUACGGAUGUUUUAAGAAGCUUAUGUUUGAGGCAAACAUUUUAUCCUUUGCUUUAACAUUUGUUCUCUCUCCUUCUAUAAUUUUUUUUCUGAACCAUUUGAACAUGAGUUACAUACAUC